UACAGAGGGUGCAAGCGUUGUUCGGAAUUAUUGGGCGUAAAGAGCGUGUAGGCGGCCAUGUAGGUCCGUUGUGAAAACUCGAGGCUCAACCUCGAGACGCCGAUGGAAACCAUGUGGCUAGAGUCCGGAAGAGGAGAGUGGAAUUCCUGGUGUAGCGGUGAAAUGCGCAGAUAUCAGGAAGAACCACCCGUGGCUAAGGCGGCUCUCUAGUACGGUACUGACGCUGAGAGCGGAAAGCGUGGGGAGCGAACAGG
rnacentral:rRNA from 1 species